rnacentral:rRNA from 1 species
GACGAACGCUGGCGGCGUGCUUAACACAUGCAAGUCGAACGAAGUGGCGAACGGGUGAGUAACGCGUAAUCAACCCGCCCUUCAGAGGGGGACAACAGUUGGAAACGACUGCUAACACCGCAUCCUGAAGGAGGGGGUUGCGUCGGAUGAGCUAGUUGGAGGGGUACCGGCCCACAAAGGCUAUGAUCAGUAGCCGGUCUGAGAGGAUGAACGGCCACAUUGGGACGGAGACACGGCCCAGACUCCUACGGGAGGCAGCAGUGGGGAAUCUUCCGCAAUGGACGAAAGUCUGACGGAGCAACGCCGCGUGAGUGAUGACGGCCUUCGGGUUGUAAAGCUCUGUUAAUCGGGACGCGGUACCGGAAUAGAAAGCCACGGCUAACUACGUGCCAGCAGCCGCGGUAAUUC